rnacentral:rRNA from 1 species
AUUGAACGCUGGCGGCAUGCCUUACACAUGCAAGUCGAACGGCAGCACGGAGCUUGCUCUGGUGGCGAGUGGCGAACGGGUGAGUAAUAUAUCGGAACGUACCCUAGAGUGGGGGAUAACGUAGCGAAAGUUACGCUAAUACCGCAUACGAUCUAAGGAUGAAAGUGGGGGAUCGCAAGACCUCAUGCUCGUGGAGCGGCCGAUAUCUGAUUAGCUAGUUGGUAGGGUAAAAGCCUACCAAGGCAUCGAUCAGUAGCUGGUCUGAGAGGACGACCAGCCACACUGGAACUGAGACACGGUCCAGACUCCUACGGGAGGCAGCAGUGGGGAAUUUUGGACAAUGGGCGAAAGCCUGAUCCAGCAAUGCCGCGUGAGUGAAGAAGGCCUUCGGGUUGUAAAGCUCUUUUGUCAGGGAAGAAACGGUGAGAGCUAAUAUCUCUUGCUAAUGACGGUACCUGAAGAAUAAGCACCGGCUAACUACGUGCCAGCAGCCGCGGUAAUACGUAGGGUGCAAGCGUUAAUCGGAAUUACUGGGCGUAAAGCGUGCGCAGGCGGUUUUGUAAGUCUGAUGUGAAAUCCCCGGGCUCAACCUGGGAAUUGCAUUGGAGACUGCAGGGCUAGAAUCUGGCAGAGGGGGGUAGAAUUCCACGUGUAGCAGUGAAAUGCGUAGAUAUGUGGAGGAACACCGAUGGCGAAGGCAGCCCCCCUGGGUCAAGAUUGACGCUCAUGCACGAAAGCGUGGGGAGCAAACAGGAUUAGAUACCCUGGUAGUCCACGCCCUAAACGAUGUCUACUAGUUGUCGGGUCUUAAUUGACUUGGUAACGCAGCUAACGCGUGAAGUAGACCGCCUGGGGAGUACGGUCGCAAGAUUAAAACUCAAAGGAAUUGACGGGGACCCGCACAAGCGGUGGAUGAUGUGGAUUAAUUCGAUGCAACGCGAAAAACCUUACCUACCCUUGACAUGGCUGGAAUCCCCGAGAGAUUGGGGAGUGCUCGAAAGAGAACCAGUACACAGGUGCUGCAUGGCUGUCGUCAGCUCGUGUCGUGAGAUGUUGGGUUAAGUCCCGCAACGAGCGCAACCCUUGUCAUUAGUUGCUACGAAAGGGCACUCUAAUGAGACUGCCGGUGACAAACCGGAGGAAGGUGGGGAUGACGUCAAGUCCUCAUGGCCCUUAUGGGUAGGGCUUCACACGUCAUACAAUGGUACAUACAGAGCGCCGCCAACCCGCGAGGGGGAGCUAAUCGCAGAAAGUGUAUCGUAGUCCGGAUUGUAGUCUGCAACUCGACUGCAUGAAGUUGGAAUCGCUAGUAAUCGCGGAUCAGCAUGUCGCGGUGAAUACGUUCCCGGGUCU